AGUGCAAGUGAUGAUGAAAAGACAGGGACAUCAUAAUCUCUUUGAGAUGAGAAUGAUGACUAAUGUCUAGAUGCGAAUCUCUCUGAUGCACA
rfam:Arabidopsis lyrata subsp. lyrata unplaced genomic scaffold ARALYscaffold_1, whole genome shotgun sequence.